GAGGGGAGCUGCAGGGCUGAGCCAGAGCCAGAGAUUGCAGAAUAGCAGCAGUUGAGCCGCCUGACCAAAUGACACCCAUUACACCCGAGACCCUCAGGACAUCCACCCCUAUUGUGGACUCUGAGGCCACUGUCUCUCAGACAUGUUAUCUGCCAUCACUAACCCUGCUUAGCUCCACAAUGAAACCCCUAAGUUGAUCCUCCACGAAAGAGGCUGCUGUGAGUAAGCCUAUCCCUCUUCAUGAAGAGAAAUUAAAGACAAAAUGGACAAGCUUCCUCCUGCCUGGUUCUUCAGGUUGAUUAUUAACAGAUAUACUGUAUAUUUCAGGUAAUAAUUUCUUCCACACAAGCCUAUGUGUACUCCGUUUUUGAUUAGCUGAUAUUGUAAAAUGCCAU